rnacentral:Y_RNA from 1 species
GGCUGGUCCGAGUGGGGUGGUGUUUACAAAUAAUUGAUCACAACCAGUUACACAUUUCUUUGUUCCUUCUCCACUCCCACUGCUUGUUUUGACUGGCCUAAA